UAAAGCCCUGGGAUUAAGUGAUGA
rnacentral:piRNA from 1 species